CGGUGCGUGGUCUGUACGGGGCGUUGGAGUGGCCGGCCGUCCCUGCGGGCUCACCCUGGUGACGACGCCUCGCUGUAGAUGGUGUGGCAGAGUAUCAUUAGGGGCAGUGCCCUUUCUUAACUCUGCACAAAAGUACUACAUGGACCAGCUGCAGCUCUGGCCAGAAGCCUGGAAAUCUGGUGGCUUUGGCUUUCCUAGGUGGGAGGUGUCUGAGUGUGGGCUUUGAUGGAGACAGACAGGAACGUACUUUGUGUGUAGGGGCGAGCUGAACUAGGUAUGCACAUGUAUAUAUGGGAGUAUCAGCGCACAGUA